CCUACGGGUGGCAGCAGUGAGGAAUAUUGGUCAAUGGUCGGGAGACUGAACCAGCCAAGCCGCGUGAGGGAUGAAGGUACAGAGUAUCGUAAACCUCUUUUGUCAGGGAACAAAGGCGGGGACGCGACCCCGGAUGAGUGUACCUGAAGAAAAAGCAUCGGCUAACUCCGUGCCAGCAGCCGCGGUAAUACGGAGGAUGCGAGCGUUAUCCGGAUUUAUUGGGUUUAAGGGGUGCGCAGGCGGUCUGUUAAGUCAGCGGUCAAAGCCCGGGGCUCAACCCCGGCCCGCCGUUGAAACUGGCAGUCUCGAGUUGGAGAGAAGUAUGCGGAAUGCGCGGUGUAGCGGUGAAAUGCGUAGAUAUAUGGAAGAACACCAGUGGCGAAAGCGGCUCUCUGGUCUGUAACUGACGCUGAGGUUCGAAAGCGUGGGUAGCAAACAGGAUUAGAUACCCCAGUAGUC
rnacentral:rRNA from 1 species